AGUUCCGAAGGUAUAUACAUUAUGUUAAGUAAGGCUCCAUCUCAAAAUUGAUUGACUUUAAACUUGAAAUUGCAUGUGAUAUUUGUAUUCCAUUUAAGUGAACAUUUGGAAUUUAUUUCAGAGAUACUAUUUUUAAUGCCUGAGAAAUUCGUGUGGCACAAUGCAUCACUUCAUUAUUUGUUACUAAUUAGUUAUUUAUUACUUUCUUUACAGAGUAAAGUGAAAGUAAUGAGAGCCGAUAGGUACGAGGUCAGAAGAUUACAUGAGAGAGGAACGCUGUGGAAAUAAACAUAAUAUCUUUACAAAUAAAUACAUCAAAAUAAAAAGAAGACAUUCAAUUUGAUGUACAUGCUUUUGUUGUCAGAUAAGUAAACGAAUUUAUUAAUUCAUA